GCCUUGUUGAGUUGGAAUAGCUCAGCUGGUAGAGCAGGAGGCUCUUAAUUUCAACGGUGUGAGUUUGAUUCCCAUGUUGGGCA